UGCUAUCCUCCCAUAUGAAAUUGCUGGGAGAGUGAAACAAAUAAAACAGUGGGAGGUUAACAUUUAUAGUUUUACAGAAUACACACCUUCAUAUACAUAGCCAUUAUGUAAAUACAACCAGACAGAACUUCACUUUUCAAAGUAAUAACACCGGAACUUCAGAGACACUGAGGUUCCAGAAAGUUGUCUUUGACUGCUUUGGAGAGGAGAGAAACCUUUUUCUUACUACGUUCUGGCUUUAGCCUCAUUCUCACACACCUUUUGGGUUGACCCUUUUGAGUGAGGUUAAUGAGCAAGUCAAAAACACUGAACAACCCUGUUAGGAUAUCAUUUUAACUAAUUAAACAAGACAUUUAAACAGUGCACAUAAAAUGCAGUUUUUCUAUUACUUACAUGUUAAGGUGAGCCACUUGCCUAUAGAAAAGAGCCCGUAAGCUAAUUAUGGCUACCUAUGAAAAUAAGCAGAGUCCUAUGAUUUAAGCAGUAAUCUGAGAUGAGGAAUAAUUCACCUUUGUGAAGGAAUAGAAGUAGAAUAAAAUAGCAAUUGUAACUCAUUAUGUCCCAAACUUCAAUGGAAGUGAAAGAAAAAUGGUACUUAUAGUAUUUAAGAUAGUUAACUGUAGAAUGUGGACAAUUUAUUAAUCCAUUACUCAUUUAACAGUUCACUGUUGAGCAACUUAUGUAUCGGUUAUUUAAAAAAUUUGUGAAGUAUUUGGCAUUAAAUAUUCAAAAGAUGUGGCCCUGCCUUUAAUAAGCUUAAUUAUGCAAUCAUUAAUAUUUUCAAAACAAAGUCAAUUGUUUUUAAGAAGAUAUACAAUAUCACAUGUGCUUGACAUCACUUAUCUGCUUAUAUAUGGUAUUCUCUUUUCUUUCAAAUCAAAUGUACAGUCCAAAUAAACUACUAAAACAUAGUAAAGUCAAUGUCUAAGUAUAAAAUAUGUUUAUGUGUAAGCCUCUAUGUGUGCACAUAGGAUAUGUAUCACUGUCUAUCAGAAAAUCAGUAAGAUGAUAGCAAGUUUUGCUAUGUUGGACUUGAACACUAUUGCUUGGGAUUUAGAUUAAUUUAUAACCUUUUGAUAUUUGGGUCAAUCACAGCAUAGCAAAGGUGUUUAAUCUGGAAAAAUAAUGUCUGUACAUUUCCAUUUAAGUGUUAUCUAAAUUCGAAUUUAAGGGGAAACAUCUUUACAGAGAUAUUGUUGGAUUUAUCUCCCAAGUAUAUAUGACAAAAUUUUUGAAGUGUUCAUUUGUUCCCAAAUGUGACUGGGUUUGCCUACCCUAAAAGCAUUUACAUUUACACGUGUAUACAGCCACAUACAGUAUACAUACUGUAUAUAAUAUAUAGGGAAAUGUUUAGUAUGCACUUCUUUGAUUUGGAACUCCUUAACAUUUGUAGUGUAGCAGUUCGUGUAAAGUGCACUGUGAUUAUACAAAUCAAAGCACAGUAAAGUCACAGGUCUUGUUAUCUUGCACUAAAAAUGUGUUUACGUAUUUAGCAAGUGUAUGUUUACUUUCUUGCUCUUUUCAAGAAAUUGAAACAAAUAGCUAUUAAGAAAAUUAUAUAAAAUAAUAUGUUUUUUAGUGGAUAAUGGCACUACAUUUUUAAAAGACAGGGUUUUUAAAGGAAACCAUUUACCAUCCAUUCCAAAAUGACAUGUUUACCAUAUCUAAAAAUCUGAAUGUCAUAUUGCAUUUUUCAUAAACUUGUCAGGUAUGUGCCUGAAAAAAAAUGUGCAAAUAAGCAUUAGAUAACAGAUUUCUCUACUCGUGUGUUGUUAGCCAUUUCUAUAUACAUAAUAAUAUAAACAUUGAUGUUUUAAUUUCUCUUAAGUUUUGUACUUGGUUUUUUAGGUAACAUGUAAUUAUAAAUGUACUUUGAUACUACUGAAGUAACCAGAUGUUGUUUAAAAACAAAUUGUUUUCUUUAGUGCAUUGACAAUAUUUUAAAUACUUUUGUGCUUAUUUAUUUGUGCUCCCGUGUAAUUAUAAUAAAAGCAAUAGUUUAAAUUAA